rnacentral:rRNA from 1 species
GACGAACGCUGGCGGCGUGCCUAAUACAUGCAAGUUGAGCGCUGAAGGUUGGUACUUGUACCAACUGGAUGAGCAGCGAACGGGUGAGUAACGCGUGGGGAAUCUGCCUUUGAGCGGGGGACAACAUUUGGAAACGAAUGCUAAUGCCGCAUAAAAACUUUAAACACAAGUUUUAAGUUUGAAAGAUGCAAUUGCAUCACUCAAAGAUGAUCCCGCGUUGUAUUAGCUAGUUGGUGAGGUAAAGGCUCACCAAGGCGAUGAUACAUAGCCGACCUGGGAGGGUGAUCGGCCACAUUGGGACUGAGACACGGCCCAAACUCCUACGGGAGGCAGCAGUAGGGAAUCUUCGGCAAUGGACGAAAGUCUGACCGAGCAACGCCGCGUGAGUGAAGAAGGUUUUCGGAUCGUAAAACUCUGUUGGUAGAGAAGAACGUUGGUGAGAGUGGAAAGCUCAUCAAGUGACGGUAACUACCCAGAAAGGGACGGCUAACUACGUG